GACGAACGCUGGCGGCGUGCUUAACACAUGCAAGUCGAACGGAAAGGCCCUGCUUUUGUGGGGUGCUCGAGUGGCGAACGGGUGAGUAACACGUGAGUAACCUGCCCUUGACUUUGGGAUAACUUCAGGAAACUGGGGCUAAUACCGGAUAGGAGCUCCUGCUGCAUGGUGGGGGUUGGAAAGUUUCGGCGGUUGGGGAUGGACUCGCGGCUUAUCAGCUUGUUGGUGGGGUAGUGGCUUACCAAGGCUUUGACGGGUAGCCGGCCUGAGAGGGUGACCGGCCACAUUGGGACAGAGAUACGGACCAGACUCCUACGGGAGGCAGCAGUGGGGAAUAUUGCACAAUGGGCGGAAGCCUGAUGCAGCAACGCCGCGUGCGGGAUGACGGCCUUCGGGUUGUAAACCGCUUUCGCCUGUGACGAAGCGUGAGUGACGGUAAUGGGUAAAGAAGCACCGGCUAACUACGUG
rnacentral:rRNA from 1 species